rnacentral:rRNA from 1 species
GAUGAACGCUGGCGGCGUGCCUAAUACAUGCAAGUCGAGCGAACGGACGAGAAGCUUGCUUCUCUGAUGUUAGCGGCGGACGGGUGAGUAACACGUGGAUAACCUACCUAUAAGACUGGGAUAACUUCGGGAAACCGGAGCUAAUACCGGAUAAUAUUUUGAACCGCAUGGUUCAAAAGUGAAAGACGGUCUUGCUGUCACUUAUAGAUGGAUCCGCGCUGCAUUAGCUAGUUGGUAAGGUAACGGCUUACCAAGGCAACGAUGCAUAGCCGACCUGAGAGGGGGAUAGGCCACACUGGAGCUGGGACACGGUCAAGACUCCUACGGGAGGCAGCAGUAGGGAAUCUUCCGCAAUGGGCGAAAGCCUGACGGAGCAACGCCGCGUGAGUGAUGAAGGUCUUCGGAUCGUAAAACUCUGUUAUUAGGGAAGAACAUAUGUGUAAGUAACUGUGCACAUCUUGACGGUACCUAAUCAGAAAGCCACGGCUAACUACGUG